AAUCUACAAAAUUUUAUUUACAGAUAUAAAUUCAGAUUAUACAAAUUACUAUUAUGGAUACAUAGUGAAAUGUAUGUUAAUGACCAGUGAAUAUGACAUGUGUCUGUAAUUCAGUACAAAGAAAAAGAAAAAAAAAACGCUCAUACGUUUGUGGUACCUCGGUAAAUCUUAAAUACAUACAUAACUGCUCCCUGUGUACGCGUGACGUGAAAUGCAAUCAUUAAAAUUACAUAAAUGAGUUUGUAAAAAUAUAUGUUUACAUUUAAAUAUUUAGUCUGUAUUAUAUUUUUAACAUAACUCUGUUAUGUGUUUGAAAUAUAAUGUGAAAUUUCACCUGGUCAUAAACUUUGCAAACAGCAUAAUACUAUUAAGAAAAUGAAUAGUUCCCCUAACAAUAUUCAUUAUUAAAUAAACUAAAACAUCAUUGUAAGAAAGAUCAUCGUCGCUAGAUUUCACUCGUACAUGUUUACCCAUCGUGUUGACCGAAGAAAGAUGAAUGGUAUGAUUACCUGCGACCGUAAUGCGCCUUCUACGCGACUUACGAUUCCUGUUUCCUGGAACCCUAAUGUCGGGCUUAGCGAUUCUUUGCCUCGGUUGCGGAACCGGUGGCACAUUUGUUCUAGUUCGACUCGCGGUAGGAGGCACACUUGUAGUAGUUGUGGCCACUGUUGUAGUCGUAGGAUUGCUUUGAUCUUCUGUUUGCAACCAUUGUGCCGCCACAUCCUGCGCGGAUUCCUGUUCCUGCUCUGGCUGCGACGGUGGAACUUCACCAAGGACUAUCAUGCGGGAUUCACCGCCUGCGGUUCCCUCCUCUGUUAAAACGAGAGAGAGACAAAAAUCGAGAAGAAAGCACGCAGAGAUUGAAACGGACACACGACGAGCAGAGUCAGCCAGCGAUCUACAGAGCGUUGCACGAUGACGACGUCAGGCGACGUCAGCUCUCGCCCUUUCCGCGCUUUCGGUUAUUGAUCGCUGACGCUCCGGGGCUUGCGAUGCUCUUAAGCCGGCCUAUCGUUGCAAAUCAUGAUUCAUUCGGACCAACCCUCCAUUUAUAUACAUAUGUAAUGAAAAGGCUUAGUCACGUCAUAUAGAAUCAAGAGAUGAUAAAACGAGUACACGAAAUUUUCUUCUUUAAUAUUACUUGAAAUUUAGUAGAUUUUUCAUUUUACAUCUGUUUGACUGAUACACAAAAAAGGAUCGUUAAUACAAAUAGUUAUUCGUAUGAAAAUAUUAGGGAUACGAGCAGUAGAAGGAAAUUAUAAUGAUGAUGAUGGUGAUGAUGAUGAUGAUUAUAUUAUUAUUAUUAUUAGGGAUAAUAUAAAGCCACAGAUACCACUGUUCUGAUCACACUGUGUGGAACUGGCAAAGCUUUACUCUCCAGAAUAUAUUGAAUAAGAUGAACGGAUCUGCUGGGUCUAUGCGCGGGCGCGACCGUGUAUCUUUGCGCAUGGAUACUCCUGGCUAAAUAUAUUUAUGUAAAAAUGCAAUCGCACGUGUGCAACGCGUGGCUGUAUAUGCACCGGUGAUCCGUAAACAAUUUCAAGUACAUACAUGUAGACACAUGGAUAAACUGAUACGGAAAAUUUCUUUUCCAGGAAAACUACAUUCAAUCUAUAUUAAUAUCAUUCUUGAAGUUUUGCUAAUUAUAGUACACCUUCUAAACUUUAUAUUGUAAUCUUAAUAUUAGUAUUAAAAAUAGAUUAUUAAACUUUUAGACAAUGAUAAAAACAUAAAACGCCUGUUAAUUAUAUUUGUAAUUAUAAUGUGUCUAAGAUUUAUUGAGGUACCACAUGAGUCAGUAGCAAGAGAAAUACAGAAGUGAUUCCUUGAUGCAUAUAAAAGACUAUAAUUAUUGGUGCACAAAGUAUAAAAUUAAUGUGUUGGUUUUCACGAAUUUAUUAAAUAUUCAUACACGAAUAAAGGUAUAUUGUAAAA